rnacentral:rRNA from 1 species
UACGUAGGUGGCAAGCGUUGUCCGGAUUUACUGGGCGUAAAGAGCGCGCAGGCGGUCGUUCAAGUCGCGUGUGAAAGCCCCCGGCUCAACUGGGGAGGGUCACGCGAUACUGAUCGACUCGAAGGCAGGAGAGGGAAGUGGAAUUCCCGGUGUAGUGGUGAAAUGCGUAGAUAUUGGGAAGAACACCGAUGGCGAAGGCAGCCAUCUGGACCGACACUGACGCUGAGGCGCGAAAGCGUGGGGAGCAAACAGG